UAAAACAAAGGCCGAACAGAUAAAGGGAAGGAACCCAUGCCCAAAAAAAAAGCCCAGAAAGUAAACUGAAUGAAACGUUAAUACUUAAUACGUUAUCCGAGUCUCUGCAUUCUGCAACUCCACUCAGCUAAGCUUCCAUGUCUGUUCUUUCUUCUUCAUUUGCCAAAUACAGGACAACUACAAACCUUCCAAGCUUGACUAUACCACCCGUUCGAAUCUCAUGCGGCCCGGUUCCGACCCGGAGGAAGNNNN
rnacentral:lncRNA from 1 species